GACGAACGCUGGCGGCGUGCCUAAUACAUGCAAGUCGAGCGAAUGGAUUAAGAGCUUGCUCUUAUGAAGUUAGCGGCGGACGGGUGAGUAACACGUGGGUAACCUGCCCAUAAGACUGGGAUAACUCCGGGAAACCGAGGCUAAUACCGGAUAAUAUUUCGAACUGCAUGGUUCAAAAUUGAAAGGCGGCUUCGGCUGUCACUUAUGGAUGGACCCGCGUCGCAUUAGCUAGUUGGUGAGGUAACGGCUCACCAAGGCAACGAUGCGUAGCCGACCUGAGAGGAUGAUCGGCCACACUGGGACUGAGACACGGCCCAGACUCCUACGGGAGGCAGCAGUAGGGAAUCUUCCGCAAUGGACGAAAGUCUGACGGAGCAACGCCGCGUGAGUGAUGAAGGCUUUCGGGUCGUAAAACUCUGUUGUUAGGGAAGAACAAGUGCUAGUUGAAUAAGCUGGCACCUUGACGGUACCUAACCAGAAAGCCACGGCUAACUACGUGCCAGCCGCCGCGGUAA
rnacentral:rRNA from 1 species